rnacentral:rRNA from 1 species
UAGUCCACGCUGUAAACGAUGGAUACUAGGUGUAGGAGGUAUCGACCCCUUCUGUGCCGGAGUUAACACAAUAAGUAUCCCACCUGGGGAGUACGGCCGCAAGGUUGAAACUCAAAGGAAUUGACGGGGGCCCGCACAAGCAGUGGAGUAUGUGGUUUAAUUCGAAGCAACGCGAAGAACCUUACCAGGGCUUGACAUACCAUGAAGUUGUCAGAGAUGACAAUGUUCCUUCGGGACAUGGAUACAGGUGGUGCAUGGUUGUCGUCAGCUCGUGUCGUGAGAUGUUGGGUUAAGUCCCGCAACGAGCGCAACCCUUAUCGUUAGUUGCCAGCACGUUAUGGUGGGCACUCUAGCGAGACUGCCGGCGACAAGUCGGAGGAAGGUGGGGAUGAUGUCAAAUCAUCAUGCCCCUUAUGUCCUGGGCUACACACGUACUACAAUGGCCGUUACAACGGGCAGCGAAACCGUAAGGUGAAGCAAAUCCCCAAAGGCGGCCCCAGUUCGGAUUGUGGG